AUUUGUGAAAGAUAGAUGUAGCACCAAUUGAGGAUAAAUUGAGAGAAUAAUGACUUAGAUAGUUCGAAUAUGCAAAAGGAGUGAUUUGAUAUAUGUAGAAGGAAAGAGAGGUAGAAGUCGAUUAAAAAUCACAUGGGAUGAAGUAGUAAGGACUCGGUAUAUCUACAUCUUUUAGAAAGCGUGAUUCUAAAUAGAGCAUAAAGGAGGAAAAGGAUUCAUGUAGCUGAUUCCAAGUAGUUUGGGAUUAAUGCUUAGUUGAGUUGUGUUGAGUAUAAUAUGUAGAAGACAGGAAUAUCUAUUCCAUGCACCAAAUCAACAUGCAUGCAAUCACUUGUGUGAUGUCACGAGAUACAAAGCCCUGCAGAAUUAUAAGAAGUCAAAACUUCCUAGAUUGUUGGAACUUUGCCAUUUUCCUCUCUAUUGUUGUUUCCGAUAACCUGAGAAGACCUUUGUACCAAGUUGACUUCUUUUAUACGUUUUGAAGUUCAUAGCAUCUACACUAUUCAUUGCUUCAGAAUUUCCAGCUUUAUGUUUUCUUCUUCCUCUUGUAUUUACUAGAAAACAUAUUUUCCACCUAAUUGAAUUCAUUCAACGACCUUUAUAAGUUUAAAC
rnacentral:lncRNA from 1 species